rnacentral:lncRNA from 1 species
AACAGAUUCCAUAUUAACUUGAAAUGUGGAGAUGACCCCGAGAGCAAUGUAGCUUUUCAUUUCAAUCCUCGUUUUGGAGAAGAACAUUGUACAGUAAGAAAUACGUACGUAGAAGGAAACUGGCAAGAGGAAGAAAGAGAAGAGGAUAGUUUCCCAUUUGAGAAAAAAGACACAUUUGAAGUUGUUAUAAAAGUUAUGGAGGAAAAGUUUAUGGUAUGAUACAUUGGAAAUAUAUUACUACUAAUGAAUUAUUAUUUUAAAACUAACUAAUUUAUUAUGCAAAAUAGCUAAAAGAACGUGUGUUGUUCUACCAAUAACUGUUUAAGCGACGAUAUACAAAGUCACCAAAGAUAUUAGGCUCUUAAUCUAUAACUGGUGAUUCUGAAAAAUGUUUAGUACUCAAUUAAAGAUCGAGUUUCAAGUUACAUUGGACUUUGUCCUGUUAUAGUAUUAUGAGGCAUUGAAUAAGAUUGAUUUCAAAACCAUAUACAUACUAUAGCAAAUAAAACAUAUCUUACAAAUACGACACAAUGGUAAACAUCAUCCAAACAACAACAUGAUAUUAUGUGAAUUAAUAAUAUGACAUAUCAUUGUCCAUGCUGCUUUUAAAAGAGAUCUAUUGAUAAUUACAUCAUUUUAUAGUAGAAUUGUAUUGCCAGCUGUGAACAUUGAUCUAGUUUAUAUAAAUAUUUGUCCAAGAACAGUAGUAUUUUGGUAAAUGAUGUGAUCUUACAGGUCUGCAUACAGGACAAACUAAAUCAACGAUCAUAUUACUGCACAUACUUAACAAUAAUUCUCUUUGAAUAUUGAUAUAUCGACUAACUUAGAACUUUAUGUAAUUGAAGUACCCCACACGCUAUAUUAUUAUUUCAGACAUAUGUAAAUGGCGACCGUUAUAUAGACUUUAAUCACCGACUUCCAUUGGAUAGCAUCUGUCAUCUUGAAAUGGAUGGAUUGGCAGAAUUCUAUGAAACUGAAUUCUUGUGAUAAGGUUUAAUAAUAUUUAUAGUAAAAUAACAUUUAGAAUCCUUUAGAGUACAAAUAACAAAAAUAUAGAUCAACAGGUUUAUCAUGAAAAACUUUUAUAUGUACCUGAUGACAAAAGUUCUAAAUAAACAACAUGUACAUAAAACAUUUAAGGAAUCCCAAAACAAAAGGGCAUAGAUAUCAUAUAACACCUAAAAUUGCUCAUCAUUAAAUUUGUCUUCGGGUGUUUACAUCUUAGGUUUCAGGGCAUAAUUUUUGUGAUAGAAAAUCUAAAAUUGACAAUUUAUCAGUCAUAACUUGCGUAAUGUGAUUUUUUUCAAUUCAUUUUAAUGGAUAGCACAAAUGAAAGCUAAAAUAAAGUAUAGUAGGUGUACUUUCAUUUUUGGUUUCCACAAAGAAAAUCGAAUAGUGGGAGCAAAAAGUAUAUAAAAAAAAGCCAAACAAAUUAAAAAAAGUCGAAGUUGAUACAAACUGACAAAAUCAAUUGAUAAAGAUCAAAAGGAACACAUGAAAAUUUUUGACUUGGUAUAGACAUAUUCCAAAAAAUAAUGAAGGAAAACCUGAUUUUAUAACAAGCUAAACAUCCUGCUUGCGCAAUGAACCAUCAUACCCGUAGAAUACUUUUUUUUAAGUGUGUAAAACCAUGUGCAAACGUGCAGAUGUACAUGUAUAUACAUAUAGUGGCACAAAGUUUCAUUUACCUCUGUAGGUUAAAUGUGUGUUCCAAAUCUUUUUAUCUGUUUCAGGUGAUGGAAAAGGUACCCUUUGAUGAUAGCUUUAAUGGUUUGAUACAAAUUUUAAAACGACUUUUAAUUUUUGACUUUGUGAUACAUUGUUUACGUUAUUAUUAUAUACUACAACUACAUGUUGAACUACUUGUUGAAUAAAUUUAGCGGUGUUAAAUAUCGUUAUUAUUCAUUGAGCAAGGAUUUAAAUGUAAAAGGUUACUUUAUCUACAUCGUCUGUGUAAUAGCCUCUUUACACCAGUAAUGGAUUAUGCUAAUCAACAAGUUAUGUUUUCAGGAGAAGAUAUA